ACUGCUUCCUGUAGUUUACCUGUUUCUUCCCUUUUAGCCCAACAGAGAAGGAACAGGUAAGCUGCAGGUAGCAAU